CAGGUUCUUAGCACACUGACUCAGCUGCAUGGCAGAAGCCUGGUCUUGAAUUGUUGGUACUGAAGCUUUUGCAGCUGCCACCAUCUUCCCACCUGGCUGUUGGGGAACAGGUUGGUAGAUGAGUGAAAGGCAAUCACUACGAGGAACUGCCUCCAGAAGGACAGUGGGAUGGCCCUGGGGUGCCUGGAUUCCUCUGUCAUGCUGACCUCCUUUAAGAUGAACCGUCAAUUCUUCCUCUUCUUGUGGCUUGCCCCACUUCCUAAAGAACACCCAGAAUGCUACAGACAGGGAAGGAGAGGUUUCUGAAAGUAAACAACAGGCCCAUGGCUGCAUGGCUGGCAAGGCCACACUGUGCUGAGUCCGUAAGGUGAGGUGGAUGGGUCUGCAUGGGAAUAUCCACUGGGCUUGGGGAAUCUCACUGGGGUUUUUGUUUUUCUGGGGA